CCUACGGGAGGCAGCAGUGGGGAAUAUUGGACAAUGGGGGGAACCCUGAUCCAGCGAAGCCGCGUGAGUGAAGAAGUAUUUCGGUAUGUAAAGCCCUAUCAGCAGGGAAGAAAAUGACGGUACCUUACUAAGGAGCGCCGGCUACCUACGGGCCAGCAGCCGGGGUAAUUAGGGGGGGGCAAGCGGUUACCGGAUUUACUGGGUGUAAAGGGAGCGUAGGCGGUGCAGCAAGGCCGAUGUGAAAGGUCGGGGCCCAACCCCGGUACUGCAUUGGAAACUGUUGAACUGGAGUACAGGAGAGGUAAGCGGAAUGCCUAGUGUAGCGGUGAAAUGCGUAGAUAUUAGGAGGAACACCAGUGGCGAAGGCAGCUUACUGGACUAUAACUGACGUUGAGGCUCGAAAGCGUGGGGAGCAAACAGGAUUAGAUACCCUUGUAGUC
rnacentral:rRNA from 1 species